UACAGAGGUCCCGAGCGUUGUUCGGAUUCAUUGGGCGUAAAGGGUGCGUAGGCGGCCACCGCAAGUCGACUGUGAAAUCUCCGGGCUUAACCCGGAAAGGUCAGCCGAUACUGCGGGGCUAGAGUGCAGAAGGGGCAACUGGAAUUCUCGGUGUAGCGGUGAAAUGCGUAGAUAUCGAGAGGAACACCUGCGGCGAAGGCGGGUUGCUGGGCUGACACUGACGCUGAUGCGCGAAAGCUAGGGUAGCAAACGGG
rnacentral:rRNA from 1 species